rnacentral:rRNA from 1 species
AUUGAACGCUGGCGGCAGGCCUAACACAUGCAAGUCGAACGCGUGGCGGACGGGUGAGUAAUGUCUGGGAAACUGCCCGAUGGAGGGGGAUAACUACUGGAAACGGUAGCUAAUACCGCAUACCAUCGGAUGUGCCCAGAUGGGAUUAGCUAGUAGUUGGGGUAACGGCUCACCUCGGCGACGAUCCCUAGCUGGUCUGAGAGGAUGACCAGCAACACUGGGACUGAGACACGGUCCAGACUCCUACGGGAGGCAGCAGUGGGGAAUAUUGCACAAUGGGCGCAACCCGGACGCAGCCAUGCCGCGUGUAUGAAGAAGGCCUUCGGGUUGUAAAGUACUUUCAGCGGGGAGGCGUUACGCGCAGAAGAAGCACCGGCUAACUCCGUGCAAGCAGCCGCGGUAAUAC